AGUAAAAGUCGUAACAAGGUUUCCGUAGGUGAACCUGCGGAAGGAUCAUUAUCGAGUUUUGAAACGGGUUGUAGCUGACCUCAAUUGGGGUAUGUGCACGCCUGGCUCAUUCCACUCUCAAACCCCUGUGCACUUAUUGUAGGCUUGGUGGGAUAGGCUGACUUUCACUAGUCGGUCUUGAAAGCUUCGCCUAUGUUUUAAUACAAACGCUUCAGUUCAGAAUGUAAUCAUUGCUAACAAGCAAAUUAAAUACAACUUUCAGCAACGGAUCUCUUGGCUCUCGCAUCGAUGAAGAACGCAGCGAAAUGCGAUAAGUAAUGUGAAUUGCAGAAUUCAGUGAAUCAUCGAAUCUUUGAACGCACCUUGCGCUCUUUGGUAUUCCGAAGAGCAUGCCUGUUUGAGUGUCAUGGUAUCAUCAACCUUCAACACUUUUGUGAUUGAAGGCUUGGAUUUGGAGGUUGUGUCGGUGCAUUCGUAUCGACUCCUCUGAAAUGUAUUAGCGUGAAUCUUACGGAUCGCCUUCGGUGUGAUAAUUACUGCGCCGUGGACGUGAAGUAUAACAGUGUUCGUGCUUACAAUCGUCUUUAACAGAGACAACACUUUGACAAUCUGACCUCAAAUCAGGUAGGAUUACCCGCUGAACUUAAGCAUAUCAAUAAGCGGAGGA
rnacentral:rRNA from 1 species